rnacentral:lncRNA from 1 species
UAUAGUUAUUUUUGUUGUUGCUUUUUUUUUUCUGAAAUGGAGUUGCGCUCUUGUUGCCCAAGCUGGAGUGUGAUGGCAUGAUCUCAGCUCACUGCAAACCUCUGCUUCUGGGGUUCAAGUGAUUCUCCUGCCUCAGCCUCCAGAGAAGCUGGGAUUACAGGCACCUGCCACCACACCGAGCUAAUUUUUUGUAUUUUUAGUAGAGAUGAGUUUUCACCUUGUUGGCCUAUAGUUUUUAAUGUGGUCACUUUUUCGGGACUAUCAGAAGACCUUGAGUUUUCUAUUGUCUCAUGAAAGGUUUCCUUGCGCUCGGAUGAUAAGGAUCAGGGAUUGGGAGAACACAGCUGGACUUUUUCCAACAUUAUUUUGAUGGUUACUGUUUUGGGUUGAAUCGUGUCUCCCAAUAAUUUAUGUCCACCCAGAACCUGUGACUGUGACCUUAUUUGCACAUGGAGUCUUUGCAGAUGUAAUCAAUUUAUAAAGGAAACAAGUUUAUUCGGCUCACAAUUCUGCAGGCUGUGUAGGAGGCAUGGCACCAACACCUGCUUCUAAUGAGGGCCUCAGGAAGCUUCCGCUCAUGGUGGAAGGUGAAGGGGAGCUGAACUGUGUGAAGAUCACAUGGCAAGGGAGGAAGAAAGAGACAGAGGAAGGAGGUUCCAGGCUUUUUUGAACAACCACCUCUCGCAGGAACUGAUUGAGCAAGAACCCAGUCAUUACUGCAAGGACAGCACCAAGGCAUUCAUGAGGGGAUCCAUCCCCAUGACAGAUGGUCAUGGGUAUUUAGAAAUCAGGGUUGCUUUAGAAGCCUCCCAUUCUGCCCUACCUCCAACACUGGGGAUCAGAUUUUCACAUGAGAUUCGGAGGAGACACACAAACCAAACUAUAGCAUGAUGGAAUGCCAAGGAUUGCCAGUGACCACCUAAAGCUGUGAGAGAUGUAUGGAACUGGUCCUGCCUCAAGGCUUUUCAGAAGCAGCUUGGCCAUGCCAACAUCUGCAUUUCAGACUCUGGCCUCCAGAACUGGGAGAGAAGAAAUCUUCAUUGUUUUAAGUGAUCCAGUUUGUGGUCAUUUGUUAUGGAAGCCCUCAGAAAAUAAUAUAGCUACUUAGCACUGUAUCACAUGACUCUAUUAAACAUGUUUAACCAAUUCCCUAACAAACACUGGUUUGUUUUUCUUUUCUUUUCUUUUCUUUUCUUUUUCUUUUUUUUUGAGAUGGAGUCUCGCUCUGUCACCCAGGCUGGAGUGCACUGGUGUGAUCUUGGCUCACUGCUACGUCUGCUUCCCGGGUUCAAGCAGUUCUUGUGCCUCAUCCUCCUGAGUAGCUGGGAUUAAGGUGUGUGCUGCCACACCCUGCCAAUUUUUGUAUUUUUAGUAGAGAUGGGGUGUUACCAUGUUGCCCAGGCUGGUCGCG